rnacentral:rRNA from 1 species
AGAGUUUGAUCUUGGCUCAAGAUGAACGCUGGCGGCGUGCCUAACACAUGCAAGUCAAACGAAGCGCUGGGGCGGAAUUUUUUCGGAAAGGAAGCCCCUGUGACUGAGUGGCGGACGGGUGAGUAACGCGUGGACAACCUACCCCGCACUGGGGGACAACAGCCGGAAACGGCUGCUAAUACCGCAUAUGCGCACGGCCCCGCAUGGGGCUGUGCGGAAAGCACUGGCGGUGCGGGAUGGGUCCGCGUCUGAUUAGCUUGUUGGCGGGGUAACGGCCCACCAAGGCGACGAUCAGGAGCCGGCCUGAGAGGGUGGGACGGCCACAUUGGGACUGAGACACGGCCCAGACUCCUACGGGAGGCAGCAGAGGGGGAUAUUGCACAAUGGGGGCAACCCUGAUGCAGCGACGCCGCGUGAGCGAUGGAGUACUUCGGUAUGUAAAGCUCUGUCAGCAGGGAAGACAUUGACGGUACCUGACCAAGAAGCCCCGGCUAAAUACGUGCCAGCCGCCGCGGUAAUACGUAUGGGGCAAGCGUUAUCCGGAUUUACUGGGUGUAAAGGGAGCGUAGGCGGCAGGGCAAGCCUGAUGUGAAAGCCCGGGGCUCAACCCCGGGACUGCAUUGGGAACUGCCCCGCUCGAGUGCCGGAGGGGCAGGCGGAAUUCCUAGUGUAGCGGUGAAAUGCGUAGAUAUUAGGAGGAACACCAGUGGCGAAGGCGGCCUGCUGGACGGUGACUGACGCUGAGGCUCGAAAGCGUGGGGAGCAAACAGGAUUAGAUACCCUGGUAGUCCACGCCGUAAACGAUGAAUAAUAGGUGUCAGGGGGCAUGGCUCCGCGGUGCAGCAGCAAAUGCAGUAAGUAUUCUACGUGGGGAGUACGUUCGCAAGAAAGAAACUAAAAGGAAUUGACGGGGACCCGCACAAGCUGUGGAGCAUGUGGUUUAAUUUUAAGCAACGCGAAGAGCGUUACCAAGCCUUGACAUCCUGCUCGGCAGCAUAUGUAACGUAUGUUCCGUUUUUGGGCGGCGGAGACAGAUUGUGCAUGGUUGUCUUCAGUUGGAGUCGUGAGAUGUUGUGUGAAGUCACGCGACGAGCGCAACCCUUACCCCCAGUAGCCAGCGCGCAAGGGCGGGCACUCUGUGGGGACUGCCGGGGACAACAUGGAGGAAGGAGGGGAUGACGUCAAAUCAUCAUGCCCUUUAUGGCGUGGGCUACACAGGUGAUACAAUGGUGUUAACAGAGGGAUGGGAUGAUGCGACGGGGAGCGAACCCCAGAAACAGCGCCCCAGUUCGGAUUGCAGCUUGCUAAUAGAUUGCAAGAAUCCGGAAUGAGUAGUAAUCGCGGAUCAGAAUGAAGCGGUGAAUAAGUU